CGAGCGGACGAUUCAAAAGCUUGCUUUUGGAUCGUUAGCGGCGGACGGGUGAGUAACACGUGGGCAACCUGCCCUGUAGACGGGGAUAACACCGAGAAAUCGGUGCUAAUACCGGAUAACACGAAAGGUCGCAUGGUCUUUCGUUGAAAGACGGCGCAAGCUGUCGCUACAGGAUGGGCCCGCGGCGCAUUAGCUAGUUGGUGAGGUAACGGCUCACCAAGGCGACGAUGCGUAGCCGACCUGAGAGGGUGAUCGGCCACACUGG
rnacentral:rRNA from 1 species